rnacentral:tRNA from 6 species
GGGUGAUUAGCUCAGUUGGUAGAGCGGCGCCCUUACAAGGCGUAGGUCGGGAGUUCGAGCCUCUCAUCACCCACCA